CGAGUCGCUGGCAGAAAAUUGACGCCUCGUUUUUUCAUUCCCACUUUUCUUCUUUUCUCGUUCGUUGGUUUAUUUUCAUUCCCACAGAUAUCUUUCCCAAAGCCCUAAUUGGCCUUAUGUCGACUCAAAUCCCUCUCACAUCCUCUUUGGCUUCCCUAUCGAUUCGUCUCCAUUCCUCAUUGCUCAUCAUUUCCCUGCCAGCGCCGUUCAAUCUUCUAUUGUCUCUUCAGAUCUCUUAGUAUAACUUCUCAACAAUCUCCAACCGAAGAGGAAGGAGAGUUGACUCUCAAAUCCGCUCGAGUCACGUUUCCGAUCAUGGCAACUAGGAAAAAUUGACCACAACUAAUCACCUUCGUCAUUUGGAGUCAAUGGCGACUCGCCCGUCGGGUGCCGGCAUGAUACCAAAGCUGAAUGUCGUGAUACUCGGUGAGUCUCUUGCAUCCGAGGAGGACGAUCUCGUAUUUCCCGGUCACGAUUUCUCCCAACAGGCACACGUACCCUCUCCUCAAAAGAGCACCAUUUCAGUACUUAGAGACGUACAACAGAUCAAUUGAAGAUCCUGGUGGCUUUUGGUAUGAUAUUGCGCAUCAGAAUUCUAUUGGAAAGAGAAAUGGGGUCAAUAGGUUUACUCAGAGAAUCUUGAUGUUAGAAAUGGGAACAUCAAAAUUGAGGAUGGCAUCACCAACAUCUGUUGUAAUUGCUUGGAUAAAAACAUAGAGUCUGGGAAUUGCGAUAAAGUUGCAGUUGUUUGGGGCUAAUUGCAAACAUGGCCCUUCUCAGGCAUAUGUUUGGGGAAUUGAAGAAAACCCUAAUUAUGGCCCUUCUUAGGAAGAUGUUUGGGGCUAGUGCCAAGAAGGACGUUCUAAAAUUCUGUCUCUUCUCUCUUUUGUUUAAUUUUAUGUCCCUCUAAUCGGAUGAUGAAACUGCCUGUUCUUCCUGAAUUUGGUUAAUUUACAGGUGAAAGUGGAGAAAAAAACCUGGAAAGUUGAUGCUGGAAGUAGAACUGUUGAUUUGGAACUGACGACUCUUUCAAGCACCCACCACGUGGAGCUGAACCCAAGUGAUGAUGGGUUCCAGGAGCGGUACAUUGUUCAAGAAAUCAUUAAAGAAAUGGCAAAGAACAGACCAAUUGACGUUAAAGGAAAGAAGGGUUUCAAAGUAUUAGUACUCAAUGAGGUUGAUAAACUUUCAAGAGAAGCACAACACUCUCUAAGAAGAACAAUUGAAAACUUCAGAGCAACUGAAACAAGCUAAUGAAACAGAUCAUCGUGCUAAAGUUAGUACUAGCAAAAAGAUUAUAGAUGCUAAACUUGCAAAAGAUUUUCAAGCAGUUCUAAAAGAAUUUCAAAAAGCUCGACGCCUUUCAGCUGAAAGAGAGACAACUUACACUCCUUUUGUUCCUCAAGCCGUUCUUCCUUCAAGUUAUGCAGCCAGUGAAAUCGAUAUAAGCUCAGACAAAAACUCAUAACAACGUGCACUUCUUGUGGAAUCUAGAAGACAGGUGGUAUUAUUGAGGAAAGAGAACAGGGGAUUCAAGAAAUACAUAAUCAAACUGGGGAAGUAAAUGAGAUUUCUAAAGAUCUUGCUGUUUUGGUUCAUGUACAAGGAGCCAUGAUUGUUGAUAUCGGGUCAAAUAUUGAGAAUUCUCAUGCUGCAACUGCACAAGCAAGAAUCCAACUUUCAGAAAGUAUAUUUAUUGCUCAUCAAAGGUUACUGAAGUUGUUCGUUCUGGUUGUCUUAAUGUGCAAAUAAGUGCACCAAAAGAAGACCAGAUUGUUAACGUUCUAGAAUUUAUUGGCAAAAAGGAGUUUAAGGAGGGCUUUAUUGUCAUUUGAGACAUGCCGUGUCCUGCAAUUAAGAUCAGUCUUGCACUUUUUCUUGUGUUUUCUUGUGUCCUGCAGUUAAGAUCAGUUAAGACCUUCUCAGUGGUUCGUAAUGGUUGAUACAAAUGUUCAAAGAUCAAAUCCCAAAAGAGAAAUUUCUGAAGACUAAUAUGCAAACAUGGAAAAAGUAAGUAGAACUUGGUUCACCUAAUUCCAUGGGGUCUAACAGGAAUCGGAAUCCAAUUUCAUUAUGGUCCUUUCGGAUGCAAUGCAAGAUAUGAAGCAAUGGGGAAUAUGUAUGUGGAAACUCAAAAUAUGAGACAAAAUUGAGAUUAUGGUACAUUAUACUUAGAAAUAAAAAUCAAUAAAUAUUAAACUUUGAUAUUUGAUCAUUUUGAUCAUUUUGGUAAACAUUGAUAUUUGAUGUUUUUGGAUGUUUUGUUAAAUUUUGAUAUUUGAUUUUAGUAUUUUAAUAUUAGUGUUUGGUCUUGGAUUGUAUAGUUAUAUGAUUCCUUUGGUAUUAAUUUGUUAUUGUUUAA